rnacentral:rRNA from 1 species
CAGGAGUUAAGAAAUGCAGGAGCGUUAAUAGCGUUCUUGCUUGACUAAGGCUCCAGAGGAAGCCACGGCUAACUCUGUGCCAGCAGCCGCGGUAAUACAGAGGCGGCAAGCGUUGUUCGGAAUUAUUGGGCGUAAAGAGCACGUAGGCGGCCUUGCAAGUCAGUUGUGAAAGCCUUCCGCUCAACGGAAGAAUGCCAGCUGAUACUACAGGGCUUGAGUACGGGAGGGGAGAGUGGAACUUC